GACGAACGCUGGCGGCGUGCCUAAUACAUGCAAGUAGAACGCAGUUGCGAACGGGUGAGUAACGCGUAGGUAACUGCCUCAUAGCGGGGGGUAACUAUCGGAAACGAUUUCUAAUACCGCAUACUGUGAGAUGGACCUGCGUUGUAUUAGCUAGUUGGUGGGGUGAAGGCUCACCAAGGCCCCGAUACAUAGCCGACCUGGGAGGGUGAGCGGCCACACUGGGACUGGGGCACGGCGCAGACUCCUAUGGGGGGCAGCAGGAGGGAAUCUUGGGAAAUGGACGGAAGUCUGACCGAGCAACGCAGGGUGAUUGAAGAAGGUUUUCGGAUCGUAAAGCUAUGUUGUUAUAGAAGCGGUAACUAGCCAGAAAGGGACGGCUAACUACGUGCCAGCAGCCGCGGUAAUUC
rnacentral:rRNA from 1 species